rnacentral:rRNA from 1 species
CAGCAGCCGCGGUAAUACGGAGGGGGCAAGCGUUGUCCGGAAUUAUUGGGCGUAAAGCGCGCGCAGGCGGUUGUGUAAGACAGGUGCGAAAUCCCCGGGCUUAACCUGGGAACUGCGCUUGUGACUGCACAGCUAGAGUAUGGCAGAGGGGGGUGGAAUUCCACGUGUAGCAGUGAAAUGCGUAGAGAUGUGGAGGAACACCGAUGGCGAAGGCAGCCCCCUGGGCCAAUACUGACGCUCAUGCACGAAAGCGUGGGGAGCAAACAGGAUUAGAUACCCCCGUAGUCCCUGUCUCUUAUAC